rnacentral:lncRNA from 1 species
UAUGUGCAGAACUAUAAUACUUCCUGUUUGUCAGUCAUGGUCUUUGUUAUGUAUAAAGUGGUCUCUGUUUGACUGAAGCACAGAGCAGGGACACCUGUGAGAUCACAUUCCUGAGGUGUGCUGAAUGCCAUUGAAGCUCGCUGACUCCUUGAAUAAGCACCUCAUGCAAACACAUCUUAAAAGAUCAAAAAGCUGCAGGCCGUGAUCUUUCUGAGAGGAUCUGCAGAUGGCUGCCAUUUACCCAGACAGACGAACUCAUGUACAGCAAAAGGAGAGGCAGAGACACCCAGGCUGACAUUUCUACUGUGUGGUUUGAAGGUACAGCGUAAAGCCCAGGGUCUGUACUGUCCUUGGGGUGCUCAUCUGCAAAGUUGCUCAAGAGGAAAUUUAAAAUGCCACUGA